rnacentral:tRNA from 1 species
GAGCGUAUAGCUCAGUGAUAGAGCGCAUACUUAGCGGGCACAAGGUCCUGAGUUCAACCCCUCAGUACCCUCA